CGUGGGCCAUUAGCAUGCAUGCUCUGACUUCAGGCAGGCCCCUUCAAUAGAGCUGCAGGAUAAACCAGCUACACUAACUUUGUGGCCUUAAAAAUGUCAUUUAUAUUCUGUCUUACUAGCAGCAUUCCUCCACCUGUGUGUGAGAGAGACAUAGCAGAGAGAUUUAGCAGAGCUGUAAAUAUGGGUCAGUAUCAAUAUAACAUGUAUUUUGUGUCUGUUUAAAUUUCAUACAACACGGUGUAGGUCAACAAUAAAAAUUUCAAGUCUAAAUAAACAUGUUAACAAAUUUUGAACAAAUAUUUUUUAAUAAAAAUAACAAGCUAUUUAAACGUGUCCAGGAAUUCACAGUCCACCAUGUCAUUUUGGGAUAGCUGCCCUUUUAAAAAAGUAACAUUAGAGGUCAGUGACAUCACACCCUUCAGUUUUAUUUCCAAAAGACUGAAGACACUUGCUGCAUGUUGAGAAAUGAAUAGUAUUAAUAUCAACUAAUAUUUCUAAGAUGUCUCAAUAUUUAGUUAAGGUAAAGCUUAUGCUGGCCACCCUGUCAUGGUAAAAGAUCACCAUUAUUUUAGACAAUCACCAAGGUCACCAUGAACAAUGAGGAAAAAUGAUGACAGUUAGCCAUGAUAUGUAAUAAAAAGUGAACCUAAGGUUUAUUUAACCCCUUUACAUGCCUUAGAACGUAUACAGGCUACAAGUGUUGGUGAUACAAAAUAUUUUUCUAUGCAGUAAAAUAGGUUAUUCACAUUCUGAAAAAAAUAAGGCUUUAAAAACUCCUACGGGUUACAUGGAGAAGCUGCCUAUUCACUCUCUACUCCACUUAAAAAUUCCAGAUCAGUAACAGGAAUCAAAAGCAAAUUCUGCAGGUUUGAAAAUGGGCAUAAAAACUAGACAACCGUUACAAAAGCCUUUUACAUUAAAUGGUUAAGCUGGGAAAAUAUUAUUUCUGUGCAGACUUAAGUAAUUUUUAGUUAUUAUUUGGUAUGGGACGCCAAAACGCGCAGUAUUCUGAUAAAGACCCAUAUGGCUGCAGCUAAAUUUAGCUAACUAGUUUUACAUCGAGUGACACGUAAGUCCCUCCAUGACGGAGUCCCCAGGCGACUAGGCUAUAGGCCCACUGUGUGUGAAACUACACAAAGAAUCAAACUUUUUUUCUGUCUCCUUUUCUCACUUUCUUACUGUUUCUGCCUGUCUCUCUCCCUCUCUCUCUUUCUCUCGAGCGCGUCCGUGAUUGCGCGUGCACGCUUGGCAGCUCCACGUCGACAUUCUUCCAGCUGCGGAGUCCGGUACACGGGAGAGAGGGAGAGAGAGAGGGGAGAAAGAGACGAAAUCACCUCACCAACACCGUCCGCGGCCUCAGGAAGGACGUCAAGUGCCAAAUUAACGCAGAAAAGCUUCGCUGGCUCUCACAGUCACGGCUGCCAUAUUUGGACACGGCGUUUUUAUUUUUUAUUUCUUGCUUUUUUGCAUUUUCUCUUUCGCCUCGUGCAGCCUGUAACGUGCUGAGUUGCAGCUGUGAGGUCCUGCAGCGAGAAGAUGAGAAGGCCCAUAAUGAAGGAGGUCUAGCGAGAGUCUUCUGUGGCUUUCCAAGUAAAGUUCUGUGAUACACUCUGACUCUUAAUUGUUUGCAGUCAGUGCAUUACAGAACUUUGUUUUGGGAGUUUAAAGCUCUGGCCUGGAGGGAACAAGCAUUACAUCUGGAGGGAGGGAUAACAACCCCCCAUACACACACACACAUUCACACAGACUCACACAUACACACAAGUCCCCCGACAGAACUUAGCUCCAUUCUCUCUCAGUGAUCACACGCAAAUAAAACAUUCAUGAUCAUUGUAA